CUUGACAUUGUCAUCGAAGGCAGGGGUUGGUCGGAUCGCUUGCAGCUGUUUUUGUAAACAGCUGUUUUGUUUCUUGUUUGAAUUGUUUACCUCUGUUUCUUUUUGCAGUUUACAACUCUGCUGUCAUUGUUGAGUUGGUUUGUAUUUGUGUGGGUCGAACUGGCAUCCAUGAAAACCCUGAUUUCAGCAGGAUUCAGCCCCUGCUUAAAACACAGUGUUUUGUUUGCUUUUUGUUACCAAACUUGAGCUUGCAGACCCUCAAACUGUAGUAAGUGGACCACCCUUGGACAGCUCUCUGUUUAACUCGUUGAGGUAACAUAAAAAUGAUCGGGACCACGUUGGAAGAACUGCACUUUUAUUUAACCAGCACUCCUCGCAGAAGAAAAGCAUAAAAUACAACACUCGUCGCUGCAGAGUCACACACAGCUCCCUGCAUCCAAACGCCGAACACCAAAUACACAGUUUCCCAGAAUGCCCUGCUGAUAUAGCUGUGUAAACUCUAGCUCCUCCCACAUAAUAAAGUCACAGUCACAGGCUGAGCCUGUAACAUUUUCCUUUGAUAUAAAUAGGGGUCGACUGAUAAUUUAGGGAUUACACUGAUACUGAUUGCAUCUGAACCGCUAAGUCCAUUGACAGAAGAAACCUGAAACUUUUCAUCCAGGUUUAGAAUUGAGAACAGUGGUGGCCGGCCCAUAGCCAGCAGACCAAGGAGAAAAAUAAAUCCUACAACCAGAGUUUGUGUAGGAGUUGGUUCGAGUGCAAGUCAUGGCUGACAGGAUGUGGAACAGCAAAUGUGAGACACUACAUAAAAGCCAGACUAAAAAGAAAUCAAGCAGACAGACAAUGUUCAUGCCACAAUGUCAGAAAUCAAUUACUUUUUACACAUUUAAACCGGGACAGCAUGUACACAUUUCAACCUUUUAAGCCGGGAGCGCGACUGUGCAUUUCUACUUGGAAAGCCAAGUGCAUGUAGGUAUUUUAACCCUUCAAGUCGGGAGAAGCGUGAACGCAUUUUAACCUUCCUAGCUGGCGGCGCCGCUGAGCAUUUCUACCCUUUAAGUCAGGGGUGUCAAAGUCAAAUGGACGGAGGGCCAAAUAAAAAAUUUAGCUACAAGCCGAGGGCCGGACUGAUCGAAUGUUCAUUGAAAAUUUUUUAAAUGAGGCAUAUAGUCUAGUGAACCUAAUUGAACCUACUGAAAACCUAACAAAUAUAUUCCAAUAUGAUCAGAUAAACAAAGCAAUAUUUUCUUAUGGCUCUGUCAGUAAUCUUUAAUUUUCAACAGACACAAAAGACAAAUUUCCUUUAUAUAAAAAUCCCCAUAACAUGAACAUUAAAUGAAAGAAACCGGUAUUAUUCAAGGCACCAUCAGUAGCCUAUAUUUUCUAUUUUAGCAAAAGUGGGCUAAAUUUACUUCAAAGAAAAAAAUAAUAAUAGCAAUUUUCUAUCAUCCACUGUUCCAUGUCCAUAUUCUUGUUUUUGUCCGCGUGUUUCGUUUCAUAAUGUCGUCUCAGAUUAUACUCUUUCAGUACCGCCACACUUUCUCCACACAGAAGACACACAGGUUUUCCAGCUACCUCCGUGAACAUAUACUCCAACUCCCACCUUAUUUGAAACCCCCGGUUCUCAGUGUCCACCUUCCGUUUUGCCAUUUUUGAUGGGUAUCUGAAAGUCAAUUUUACUGUUGUGCUGACGACUGCUGUGCUAAUAAAUAUUGAAAUGAAGCAGCCUACUGCUCGGUGCGUCACCGUUGCAUUGUGGGAAAUGUAGUAUUGGUGCGUGUAAAAGAUCUGCGGGCUGCCGGCUUGCUGCGGUCUGCGGGCCGGUUCUAAUAAUAAAUCAAGAUCAUCCCAGGGGCCGUAAAAAACCUUCUCGCGGGCCGGAUGUGGCCCGCGGGCCUUGACUCUGACAUAUGUGCUUUAAGUCAUUUACAUCAUUUUGUGGCAUUCUGUCAUUUUUAAAUCAUUUGUGGAGUCGUGGCAAAUCAAAUCAUCAUACCCAUCUGCCUCUGAUUGCCGAACAAAGCGGUCGGAUUCAUGCUCGGAUCUUGCUACUGCUUCGUGAGGAAAGUAAACAAUGACGGAGGCAGAGAGUCCAGCAGUGUGAACAACCUCUUUAUAUGGAGUGCUUUUGCUCACACUAUUGGCGAUUUCUGUGAGUGUUGCAUGACUUUGGGUGAGCACAAAGAUGAACACACUGUCAGCCACUUAAUGAUUUUUUUUUUUUUUAGUUUUUAGUGUUGGUCUUGUACUGGCACUAAAUUAGAGCAGCUGUAUACACUUUCAACACUUAUUUUUUAUUUUUACAUUUGUAUUGAACGGACACUUUUGUCAUGACUGCCACUUGUUUUACAGAAAGCAAACAGUUUGUUAUUUUCCAGUGCAGAGUCUUUACUUUUAUUUAUACAGCCGCUUUUUUCAUUUGAGUUGAUAAAGUUUCAGAAAAAUAAAAGCUAGUUAUCUUCAAAGCAACAUGUGUAAGCUCUCAAAAAAUUUUGAAUUUUGUUUCUAUCCGCUACAGAGGCUGAGACAUCAGCUUUUUGUAAACCUCAACACUUAAGAAAACCUCAGGAUCUUGGAGGACUUCUCAAAGAUUGAAUGUUUCCUCAAUUAUUUUCUCAGAAUGCACCAAAAUGCUUAAUUUACAUGUGAGAGACAAAAAAAUUUUUUUUUUAAAAAAUCUCCCCGGCAGACCACCCCACAGGGCUCUGGUCUCCAAACUUUCCGCCCCACCUACUAUUUUUUUAAAACUGAAACAUUCAACAAACACCAUGUGGGUGUUGCUUUUUACACAGCUCUGGUUUCAAAAAAAUUAUCCAGAGGUGUGCUUUUGCAGAAAAUGUGUGAAGCAAGUCAUUAGCACCCACACUAGUUCCCACUAUAUGUUCCAUUAUAUUCCAUGAUUCAAAUUUUGCUUUUUGCAUUUCUUACUCCAUGGACACUAGUUGGUUAAAAAAAAAAAAAAAAAAAAAAAAAAGAAGAUAAUCAAAGACUUCCUUGUCCACAGGGGGUACCAAAGUUGACACAAUCCAAACAUUCCUAAAAAAGGCUUCAAAAGAAAUGGGGUAAAAUACUAGUGGUUUUAAAAUGUGACUUUCAGACUGCAGACCCUAAAAGAGUUCCCCACACCUUUCCCAGUUUCAAGGUGGCGUAUCCUGCAUCAUUGUCCCAAUAAGUAUGAAGUUUGAGCUGACAAAAGGUGGGAGGAAACACAUUGGGGGAUUACAACAAUACCCAUGUAUCUAAUGUUUCUCAACUUUACUAAGUUUUAGCACAGACUGUUAAGCCCCACCCAAGGGCGGACCUAUGGGUCUUAACACUGUCCUCAUCUUUCAACCCAUUGGAUUAACAAAACAUCUUCAAAAGUUUAAGAUGUGAUUUGUGACAAAAUAACAAAGUUACAAACUAAACACGAAGAACCCACAAAACAAAUGAGCGGCGGCAAGGCAGCACUUUCCCACCAAAUGCCUCUCCAUACUGCAGGCAGCUCUGGGGCCUCAUGUAUAAACGCUGGUGGCGCCAGAAAACCUUGCGUUCGCCAAGAUCGGCGCACACGUCCAGAUUUAUCAUCGCGACACAAGCGUCGGUUCCAGCGCAAAUCCACGCAAAGGGAGGAGGUGGUGUAGAAGUUGGCGUUGGGCCAAUACUUAAGUUGACGGCACUUUGGCGACGCUGUGUGGCGGUGUUUGGUGACUCACUAUGUGACAAGCGUGCACCACAUCCCCGUGGCCGAGCAGCACGUCGCCCCACAUGACGAACCAGCAGCAGACGGAGGGAUGCGAGCUGAUCCCUGCCGGACCGCCGUCCUCGCGCGGGAGAAUCUCAUCGCCACAAUGUGAAUGGGUAAGAAGUGAAUACACAGUUCAAUGAGCCAAAUGAAUUUAUUUUCUCCACCAGACGCUCGAGGACAUUUACGAGCCGGUCCAGCCGCUGGUCCAGCGGAAGUGCCGCGGCUGGUGGAUGCUCCACCGCUUGUCGGCACGCUGGUGCUGGUGCUGGGGCCGGGGUGGCCCGAAUGCCGCUGGUCCUGGCCGACGACUCUGAGCCGGCGGACGGGCUGCCGCAGGCCGGGGUUCCGCAAGCUGGCGACACGGCCGACACAUUGAUCUCUGUGACACAAUAAAAAUAUUGGUUCAUUUCAAUUCCUGGUUCUGUGUAUCUGUUGCGUUUACAUCUAUGGCAAAGCAUGUGGACAUUUGUGUGACACGCCACUUACCCUCCGGCAGGCUGUCUGAGCGGCGACAAUCCCCCCCACAGAGGCGCCCCCAUAACCGCCACCACCCGCUGCUCAAACGGCGUGACGGUCUCCUCCCUCGGACCCCCACCUGUCUGGCCGGUACUCCUCCGGAGGGCAGCUGUACGCCGCUUGACCUCCACCUUGAGGUCCGACCACUUUUUUUUCAAUUUCCGCGGGGUUGCAUGUCUCGGAACCCACCGCGUUCACCCUCUCGCAAACUGUCUCCCACUCCAAGCGUUUUCGUUUUGCACUGAUGCCACUGGACAGGCUGCCAAACAAUACACGCUGUCGCUCCUCCACCUCGCACGCCGUAACUUUCGUUUUUCUUGUCAUUUUGUCUGUGUGCGAGGACAGGGAGACCCUAUUUAAAUAAAUCUGCAUAUUUAUAGGUGGGCGUAACGGGGGCGGGCCCGGUCACUCCGACAUCUGCGCUCAAUUCCAAGCUGAUUGGGAUUUAUCAAGGAAACACACGUGGCUUUCGGCGCCCGCACACCUUGAUACAUACGAAUUUUUUCAGCAUGACGGACCUUGCGUGCGCUCGUUUCCGGUAUGAGUCCCACGCAAGUGUUGAUACAUGAGGCCCCUGGGCUUUUAAACUCUCAGCAACAAGUGAGUCUGAUUGGCACUCAGUGAUUUCACCUGGGCAGCUAUGGGGAGACAAAAAUGGGAAAAACACACACAAAACACACAGCCGUAACAUCCCCACCCUUAAGACAAUGAAUGAAUAAUUUGUACUGCAAAAAUAACCACUACUAUUGCACAUCAUUAAUCUUAUAAAAAAAAAAAAAAUUAUUAAUUGAAUUAAAGUGCAUUGUGCCAACCAUAUUAAUACAGGAAUUUAACUAAAUAGGUGUUACUUACCAAGGCUGUGUGUGACAAAACACAGGCCACUGCACAAGCUUAAAAACCUCACAAUUCACAAAAGCUGAAGACAACCACUGCUGACAAAAGGUGCAAAAUGGGUCAUGAGGAACACAAAAUCUUAUUCAAUCACUAGGGCCAAAGAAGAUGCUGCACCCAUCCCAAAAGUAGCCAAUUAGGUGGGUGCCACUCCCACAAAGCAAAAUGGCAACUACCAUUAGGUCAACACACACACACGCACGCACGUGCAAAACACAAAAAUUUGCCAGUACCACACUCACAGUAACAGAUGUCCAACACCAAAGUGGAGUGAACAGUCACACGAAAAAAACUGCUGUCAUUCACAAACAUCCAACAAAAGUGACUGCCGCCACUGCAACACAAAUGGACACAAGUCUUAAAAAGACAUAUGAGUUACUGUGAUUAGGCUGGCCACAACCCAAACAAACGGAACAUACAAUUAGGAAUAUGAAACAGUAACAAAAAAGUCACCCACCAAAUGUAGACUGCAAACCACUACACAAAAUGGUCACAUAGAAGUCACCACUACACAAAUAUUGCCACCUUACACCUAAGGUGCAACUCACACGUGACCCACCAAAUGUGGAGAGCAGUUACCCACAACACAAGUGACUGCCCACAUAAAAUCCUAAUUGUAAUCAUAGAGUGACCUAGCAAAAAUGGGUAGGCUUCUAAAACACACACAAAAACAGUAUUGUAGUUCAAAACAACUUUAAAAAGUAAAAUGAGUCACCCCGACCCCUAUCUGCUUAACAAGAUGUCUUACUUACCUAACUAGUCUUCAGGGGGCUUCACGAGCUUGAGGCAUCACCUAAGUGUGCCCCCUCCUCAGGAUUACCUCCAAAACUAAGAAAGGCAAAGUAAAAAAAAGUGGCAAGCUCUUCCCUGCCCAGCAACUAAAUGAUCAGGGUGCUCAGAAAUCACAAAGAAAAGCAACUACUAAUGAUAGUGACAGAAACAGAAGACUAACAAAGCCAAACUAUGGUCACUAGUUAAGAAGCGAGAAAAACAACUUCAAAGAACCUCAUGGAUGUUUUAUCCCAGGCGAGCCCCCAUUUGUUACUCCUCCCCCGAAGGGUAUAUAGUAUAUACAGUCUAUGUUAAGGACGUUAAAGUAAGUAAGUAACUAACAAAGUGAAAUUAAUUUAGUAUAGCAACUCUCAUAGUAAAGAUUCACAAAGUGCUUCACAGUAAAAAAAAAUCAAAAUGCAAUCAUAAACAUCAAGUAAAAUCAAAGUACAAUAAAAAACAAUGGCAUAAAUAGAGCAUUAGCUAAAAUUGGGGGAGAUAAAGGCCUGUUUAAAUAAGUGAGUCUUUAAAAGAUUUUAUAAAGUGACAAUGGAAACAGCCGAACGAAUAUCAGCAGGUAAAUUGUUCCACAGUGUUGGAGCCACCACUUCAAAAGCACGGUCACCUCUAGUUUUUAGAUGAGCUUGAGGGACAACGAGCAAGCCCUGGUCAACAGAUCUGAGUGACCUACAAGGAAUGUAGGGGUGAAGCAGGUUAGUGAUAUAUUCAGGGGCCUGACCAUGCAGAGCUUUGUAAACAAAAACAAGAACCUUGGGGUGAUGUGGGUUGUCCGGCUGGACUUGGUCAACAGCCUUUAACGGCAUUCUGGACUAAUUGCAGGUGAUGAAGUGAGGACUUACUGAGACAGGUGAAAAGUGAAUUACAGUAGUCCAGGCGGGAAGAAAUGAAAGCAUGAAUGAUCAUUUCAAGUUCAGAAUAUGGCACAACUGACUUAAUUUUAGCAAUGUUUCGUAGAUGGAAGAAGAAUGACCUGGCCAAUAUUUUUAUAUAGUGAUCAAAGUUCAUGCAGUGAUCGAAAAUUUUAGACUGGACAGCAGAAGACAGGGAACCAAUACAACUUUGUGAGCUAUGGUAUCUGACCCAACAAUGAGGAUCUCGAUCUUGUCAGCGUUUAGCUGCAGAAGGUUAUGAGCCAUCCAGUCCUUAAUGGUGGUCACUCAAAAGAGCAACGCAAUUGAUUUGUCUGUGUCAUUGGGCCUAAAAGACACAUACAGCUGGAUGUCAUCAGCCUAAAAGUGAUAAGAAAUGCCCUUGAAUUUACUGAUGAUAUGACUUAAGGGCAGCAAAUACACAGCAAAUAAUAAAGGGCCCAACAUAGAACCCUAAGGGACACCACAGGAGAGGGCAGCUGUUUCAGAUAUAUAUAUGGACCAAGUGACACAGAAAAGCUUCUGUCAGAAAGACAGGAGGAGAACCAAUCCAGGGCAAUCGCAGAGAUAAAGUCCACCUCCAGUUGGUCAACCAGAGGGAAGGUAAAGUCAGCUUUACUGAUAUGGAGAAUACUGCCAAACUCUGCUCCACAAAUAGGUGAACUCAACAAGACUGUGUCCAUGUUUUUCACAGUCUAUGGUAUAGACAUCCAACAUUGUAACACUGUAAACAGUAACUGUAUUAAACUGUGGAUCAGUUUAAUAAGUCUCCCCUUUUACCAAGAAAAGACCAAGAUUUAGAACUUUUAAGGUACUUUGUCUUGGAGGAUCUCCAGUUUGUUGGAUGUUUAGUUUGGAGUGACUUUAUGAACUCCUCUGCCCCAGACUUCAGACUUCUCUAGAGAUCUCUUUGAGAACUCUCGAAACUUGAAAACUUUUCCUCUGAGGUAUUUUAACCAAGUCAGGGUGAGGGUUUCCAGACAUCUUGACUCAAAUUUCAGCCCUGGCC
rnacentral:lncRNA from 1 species